AUUACACACCGGUAGCGGUGAGGGACGCAUGUGGAGAAUCGCUGCAGGGGCCGUCCACCGACGCAACGCUGAACUAAAAAGAGCAGUGUUCGAUCCUAUGGAAUUGGCCAGGUUUUGAUGGCAAGCUAGGAACCCUGCAUUGAGGCAACAUGCCUGGAAGGUUGAAGCCCAGAUUCACUGAUGAGCUGUCACCCACCUGCUCUGCUCUGACCCAGCUGGUAGGAGGCUUUGCAGCCGUCCUUUUCCUUUUGUCCCUCUUUGGCCUUCAUAGAAAACUUCACUCCUUUCCUCCACUCCUGAACCUCUGGACACUCGAUUACUUGGCCAUUGGACUGUUGUAUGUUUUGGGACUCUCAGUAUAUGAGAUGAAUGCGUUUUGUAAAUUGAGCUCAUUGAAAUGUAUUUGUAAAUUAUUGUUGUGAAUUUGUAUUCUGGUUUUUUCGCUUUAUAAUAUAUGGUACCACCACUGCUGCAAAUUGUGUGCUCGCCUCUUUUCCAUCUCACUCCCAGAGCCGAAAUCUGGAUUUUUCUGAUUCUAGCCUAGAAAUUACAAUUAAAGUGUCUAAAGCUAAUGUUAAAUGUAAUAGCGCAUUGUACAUGCUACAUAGCCAUUAGAAAAUAAUCAAUAAUUGGUUGA